rnacentral:rRNA from 1 species
CCUACGGGUGGCAGCAGUGAGGAAUAUUGGUCAAUGGCCGGGAGGCUGAACCAGCCAAGUCGCGUGCGGGAUGAAUGUCCUAUGGAUCGUAAACCUCUUUUGCCAGGGAGCAAAGUCACCCACGUGUGGAUGUUGGAGGGUACCUGAAGAAAAAGCAUCGGCUAACUCCGUGCCAGCAGCCGCGGUAAUACGGAGGAUGCGAGCGUUAUCCGGAUUUAUUGGGUUUAAAGGGUGCGUAGGCGGGUUAUCAAGUCAGCGGUAAAAUCGUGGGGCUCAACUCCAUCCAGCCGUUGAAACUGAUGAUCUUGAGUGCGCGAGAGGCAUGCGGAAUGCGUGGUGUAGCGGUGAAAUGCAUAGAUAUCACGCAGAACCCCGAUUGCGAAGGCAGCAUACCGGGACCCGACUGACGCUGAAGCACGAAAGCGUGGGUAUCGAACAGGAUUAGAUACCCCUGUAGUC